AGACAUGGGACCAUCAUCUGGAUUCCUAGACGUGCAACUGCAAGCUUAGAAGAAAUAAAGGAAAUAUCCCAGGAGCAAAAACAAAACACACACAUGCUCCUCUCAAGAGUCACUGGCAUCCCAGCUGAAAAGUCAGCUCUACACCUAUGGGACCUAUGGGCCUGUUUCUGAGCUCUGUUUUGUCUCUUUGGUCUGAGUGUCUAUCUGAGGCCAAUACCACAGUACCAAAUGCGAUUGCUUUAGAGGAAGUCUUGAAAUCAGAUGAGGGAGCAUAACUUUCGCAUCUCAGUCCUUCUCCAUUUCCUGAGGCUUCUUCAGGCUCUGGUGUGUGGUCCACCCUGGAGAAUGUCUCGCUCUCCUCUCGAGAGGAACGUGGCUGCGGCUCUGCGUGGACCGUUUGGCAGAGGCUCAUAUGCUGGAUCCACUGGUUGGUUCACGGGGUUCAUUCCUGUCUGUUGAUCUUCUACCUAGUGGCUCCAUCACUCAUUCAAGCCACCCGAUGUCCCUUUUGAUUAUUGUUUACACGGUUCGUCUUUUUCCACCUUUCCCCGUUGGACUCUG
rnacentral:lncRNA from 10 species